GCGUUUCCCCUCCUUGUGCUUUUCUCUCGUGUGCCAUGUGAAGAACCUUGCUUCCUCUUUGCCUUCCACCAUGAUGGCUUCCGAGGUGACUGGGCAGCGUCAGUCUUCAGCCGCUAAGCCGAGAAGGAGUCAGUCAGAGAGCCUUGGGCCAGAGUUCCAGGGGCUCUGGGAGUGUCUGCCAGACUCUUACCAGUUGUUUUAAUUGCUAAGACAACCCAGUUCUGCAUGAGCUACAGCCAACUUCACAAAUAUCUAUCUUCUCCUGCCCCUCUUCUGUUUCUAGAGCUUUCAGAUUCCAGUACUUACACCAGUACUCACAUCAGUACUCUCUCUCAACCGUGGGUUCUCAAGUGUUGAAACUCUAACCGGGAAUUACACCAUUGGUGGUUUUGAGGUCUUAGGAUUCAGACUGAAUUACAUCACUGACCUUCCUGGUUGCUCAGCUGACAGACAGCAGAUGACUCUUCAGAGGUUCCUGCUGGGCCUCCCACUGCUCCAGUGCUUUUGAUGAAGCUAGACUAUUCCCUGCAGCAGUUCCUUUUCCCAUGUUUUGGCCUCUGAGGAUCAACAGUACAGCUCUAUCUUCUUUUUGAUGAGAUCUUUAGUCUCUCUUGCUUCAGGUGCCUGGAUGUUGAGGGGCAAAUAGGACUGUUCACUGAAGGAGCUAGAGAAUGGAAGAGAAGGUUGUGUCAGAUAGAAAUAACAGAAGCUUUCUGAAAUGAAAACAGAAAUGUUACAACUUGCACCACAGUACUGGACUGAAACGAAGAUGUAACACAGCCAUAAUAAUUUAAAUUAAUAGCAAAUAAAUAAAGAAAAAAAGAACUUCAUUGUGAGGACCAUAGUCAUGGGAUAGCUCUGUCUUUUCGGGGAAAGUGGAGUAGAGGGACAGAGUCACCCCAGGAGAAAAAAUGCUUAAAUUAAGACUCCCUGAGAGACUGAAUAAGAGUAUGAUUAGUUCAGCCUUGCUUUCAUCCUCCACUUCCCCCUCCCACUGUAGACUUCAGUUUUAAUAAUGAUUAAAGAAUAAUGCCUGAAUCCC
rnacentral:lncRNA from 10 species